rnacentral:lncRNA from 1 species
ACUACCGGGUUUAUAUGGGGUUCAAGUCCAUUGGCUUGACUGCCUCCGUGGUCGCUAAUUCACUUGAAUUCUUAUAAAUUGGACGGUUCCGUUACACUAUCUAGGACCACUCUAGCGUCAUCAGUAGGGAUGCGAAAGAAAGAACCUCUAGACAUUGUAUGUAGCAUUUGUUUAUGAUCUUUCUGAAGACCUCGAAAAAAGUGAAAUAAAAGAACAAGGUCUUCAAGAUUAAGGUUUGGACCAGAUUCUAAAAGAUCAGAAAAACGCUUCUAGGAUUUUCCCAAAGUUUCAUUAUCUUUUUGUUUAAAAGAUAGGGCUUCAAGUCUAAGGUCGCUGAUACGGUUGAGGGAAUAAAAAUCUAGGCAAAAGUUGGCUCGUAAAACUCCCCAUUCAUCUCGUUGUUGACUUACCUUCUGAUUAUACCAUUGUCUAGCUUCUCCCCUUAAAGAAAAAGGAAAAAGCUUCCAACGUAAAGUUUUAUAAGAAAUGCCUUCAAUGCGAAGACAAUCACAUGUUUGCUCAAAAUCUCUAAUAUGAAGGUAAGGGUUUUCGUCUUCCUUUCCUGAAAAGGAUAGGUUUUGAAUCAUGGCAAUCAACCUGGAACUUAACCUAUACUGGGAUGUUUGGAUAGGCUGUGAUGACUCCCAUGGUAAAAGGUCAGUUUCCAAAGGUGUUGCAAAUUGAUAAAUCGAUUUAGAAUCUUGGUUUCCAAUAAGAUAAUAAUAAAGAAAAUAAAUAAAAAAUAUAAAAGAUAAGGAAAGAUAAAAGUAUAAAUACAAGCUAGUAGUAAGACUCAAGGUUAUCUCAGCAAACCGUCUUUCUCCCUGGCAACGGCGCCAGAAAUGCUUGUUGAUAUUUGGGAACGCAAUAAGGAAUUGAUCCGCAAGCGCACGGAUACCGGUGAGCACUUCACUCUUGAUGUUAUCUAGACUAUCGUAUUUAUAUUUUUACCAC